UGAAUCCAUAGGUUAAUGAGGCGAACCGGGGGAACUGAAACAUCUAAGUACCCCGAGGAAAAGAAAUCAACCGAGAUUCCCCCAGUAGCGGCGAGCGAACGGGGAGGAGCCCAGAGCCUGAAUCAGCAUGUGUGUUAGUGGAAGCGUCUGGAAAGGCGCGCGAUACAGGGUGACAGCCCCGUACACAAAAGCGCAUGUGCUGUGAGCUCGAUGAGUAGGGCGGGACACGUGGUAUCCUGUCUGAAUAUGGGGGGACCAUCCUCCAAGGCUAAAUACUCCUGACUGACCGAUAGUGAACCAGUACCGUGAGGGAAAGGCGAAAAGAACCCCGGCGAGGGGAGUGAAAAAGAACCUGAAACCGUGUACGUACAAGCAGUGGGAGCACAGGUUUACCUGUGUGACUGCGUACCUUUUGUAUAAUGGGUCAGCGACUUAUAUUCUGUAGCAAGGUUAACCGAAUAGGGGAGCCGGAGGGAAACCGAGUCUUAAUUGGGCGUUAAGUUGCAGGGUAUAGACCCGAAACCCGGUGAUCUAGCCAUGGGCAGGUUGAAGGUUGGGUAACACUAACUGGAGGACCGAACCGACUAAUGUUGAAAAAUUAGCGGAUGACCUGUGGCUGGGGGUGAAAGGCCAAUCAAACCGGGAGAUAGCUGGUUCUCCCCGAAAGCUAUUUAGGUAGCGCCUCGUGAAUUCAUCUCCGGGGGUAGAGCACUGUUUCGGCUAGGGGGCCAUCCCGGCUUACCAACCCGAUGCAAACUGCGAAUACCGGAGAAUGUUAUCACGGGAGACACACGGCGGGUGCUAACGUCCGUCGUGAAGAGGGAAACAACCCAGACCGCCAGCUAAGGUCCCAAAGUCAUGGUUAAGUGGGAAACGAUGUGGGAAGGCCCAGACAGCCAGGAUGUUGGCUUAGAAGCAGCCAUCAUUUAAAGAAAGCGUAAUAGCUCACUGGUCGAGUCGGCCUGCGCGGAAGAUGUAACGGGGCUAAACCAUGCACCGAAGCUGCGGCAGCGAACGUAUCACUUAAAGCGAUUCAGCGGGUUACGAUUGACGGAGCGAAGCGACGUCAAAGCGUAUACAAAGUCGAGUCGGUUUAAGGAUACGUUCGUUGGGUAGGGGAGCGUUCUGUAAGCCUGUGAAGG
rnacentral:rRNA from 1 species